rnacentral:lncRNA from 1 species
CCCUCUCCAAUUUUUUAAAUUUUAAACUUUUUUUUUAUAUUUUGACAUAAAAUAUAAAAUAUAAACCUCCCGCCUCCUGAGAGUUUUUAAAAUUUAGCGAUGAGAAUCAAGGAAUUUAUUUUAUAUGGCCUUAAUAUUUCUGUGAUUUCCAAAGUGAAGUGUCACAAACCAAAAUGAACAUAUUUCUCCACGAACAAUGACUGAACCCUUCAACUGAAUGCGAAGUUCCGUUAAAAUGCAAUGAAAUUUCUUUCAAGGUUCUAUUUGUUUGAAAUUGGCAGUUUAAAAUGGCACUAAAAACCCAAUUUUAAAUAUAAUUUGUCGGGCGGUUCAUUUAUAUUGUAUAACAAAAUAUAAAAAAAUUUCACGCUGCUCUUACUGCCAUUUGCGUUCAAGCUUGCAGCGUGCAAAUUUUUUCACGUUUGUUUACGUUUCAAACGUAACGUUUCAAAGGUUAUCACGCCCGUUUGGCAGAUGAAAUGUAUACCUGUCGCGAUUUAGGAAGAGCAUAUUUGCGUUGGGUUUUCAGUUGGCCCAACAACCCCCAACGCUUAAUUAGUUAUUCCAGAAUCUUGUGACAAUGCCUAUUGCCUAAAACUUAAUACUUCAUGUUAGGUUGUCAAGGACCGGAACAACUGGGGGGUGUAACACCCUCAAAGAAAGGUCAAGGAAGGGGGUCCAACUUGCUCACAGGAUGAGGGGGGGGGUUAAUACUGGAAUAAACCCAACAGGCACAACAGACCCAACAAGCACAACAAAACCCAGCAGCACAACAGACCCAACAGGCACAACAGACCCAACAAACCCAACGGACCCAACAGGCACAACAAACCCAACAGGCACAAUAGACCCAACAAACCCAACAGGCACAACAAACCCAACAGGCACAACAGACCCAACAAACCCAACAGCACAACAGACCUAACAGGCACAACAGACCCAACAAACACAACAAAACCCAACAGCACAACAGACCCAAAAAAACCCAACAGGCACAACAGACCCAACAGGCACAACAGACCCAACAGGCACAACAGGCACAACAGACCCAACAGGCACAACAGACCCAACAGGCACAACAGACCCAACAGACCCAACAAAACCCAACAGCACAACAGACCCAACAAAACCCAACAGAUUGAAAAAAGCCAACAAAACCCAACAGAUUAAAAAAGCCCAACAGACACAACAAAACCCAACAGAUUAAAAAAAACCCCAGCAAAACCCAACAGAUUAAAAAAACCCCAACAGAUUAAAAAAGACCCAACAGAUUAAAAAAGACCAACAGACCCAACAAAACCCAACAGCACAACAGACCCAACAAAACCCAACAGAUUAAAAAAGCCAACAGAUUAAAGAUUAAAAAAAGCCAACAGACCCAACAUAUUAAAAAAACGCAACAAAACCCAACAGAUUAAAAAACCCAACAGCACAACAGACCCAACAGAUUAAAAAAACCCAACAGAUUAAAAAACCCAACAGCACAGCAGACCCAACAAAACCCAACAGAUUAAAAAAACCAACAGAUUAAAAAGCCCAACAGACCCAACAAAACCCAACAGAUUAAAAAAAAAAACCAACGCACAACAGACACAACAAGACCCAACAGAUUAAAAAAAAGCCAACAGACCCAACAAAAUCCAACUGAUUCAAAAACCCAACGCACAGCAAAACCGAACACACUCUUCAGGCUAUUUUCAUGUUGCGCGCAAUGCUAUUAACUAAGGUAAUUCAUGACCAAGUGCUUGACGUGUAUUUUCGUGUAUUUAUUUAAUAUCUAAUAUUUUCCAAAUCAAAAAAUAAAGAAAAUAACUAUUCAAAAAGUGAGAAAUGUGUGAUAGUGCAUACAGUAAUCUACAAUUUCGGAGUACUGAGGUGAAUUUUCAUUAGAUGAUCAAUUACAGCUGCCCUUUCAACUACAACUUUGCAGAUAAAUUUAAUGUCUUUAAUUCAAACCGCAAACGCAGAAAAUAUAUUUUGUUUUCGUUUGAAUUUUAGGGUAUUGUAGAUGGACAUUAUCGAGUCGAUAAUAAUUUCCAUCUUCAAUAUACCCUUCAACGAAUAUUCAUUAGCAUAAUUUCAGUAAUAAAAAUGACCUUUGAGCAUUCUGAUUGGCUCCCUCAGCAGUAAAUCUGAGGCAAUAGUUACUGCUCAGACAGCUUUAGGCAGUUUAUGCAAAUUAUAUUCAUAAAAUAUGUAAACAUGUUAAGGUGGCUCGAUACAGUUUUCAAAAAUUCAGGUGUUCAACACUUUGACAUGUUCAAACUACGCAUUUUUAGGAUUUAUUCAACAGAUAUUGAGGUUUUUAUAUAUUUUGAUCUCUACUUUCAAAUUAUAUUAGUUUUAGUAACAGAUAGUUCGUUGCUAUGACGACAUACGUAUACGAAAUUCACUCCAAAUCGUCUCGUUUUGUUCGAAAAGAAGCAUGGUGACCCCCAAUUUGUUUUCUUGCAUUAUUUUACUUGGACGAAAAGUUAACAAUUAGCAAAAUAUAAAAAAAUUCUGUAAUACCAUUUUUUUGGAAAAUGUCAUAUUCUUCGG